AGAAUUGAUCUUGGUCAGGAUGAACGCUAGCUACAGGCUUAACACAUGCAAGUCGAGGGGCAGCAUUGGAGUAGCAAUACUCAGAUGGCGACCGGCGCACGGGUGAGUAACACGUAUCCAACCUGCCGCUUACUCGGGGAUAGCCUUUCGAAAGAAAGAUUAAUACCCGAUGGUAUAAAGAGUUCGCAUGUUCUCUUUAUUAAAGAAUUUCGGUAAGCGAUGGGGAUGCGUUCCAUUAGAUUGUUGGCGGGGUAACGGCCCACCAAGUCUACGAUGGAUAGGGGUUCUGAGAGGAAGGUCCCCCACAUUGGAACUGAGACACGGUCCAAACUCCUACGGGAGGCAGCAGUGAGGAAUAUUGGUCAAUGGACGAGAGUCUGAACCAGCCAAAGUAGCGUGAAGGAUGACUGCCCUAUGGGUUGUAAACUUCUUUUAUAAGGGAAUAAAGUGAGGGACGUGUCCCUUUUUGUAUGUACCUUAUGAAUAAGGAUCGGCUAACUCCGUGCCAGCCGCGGC
rnacentral:rRNA from 1 species